CGACAGACUCUCAGCACGUUUAACAUAAUUUGUAAUAUUGGAUCUGUAGUGUGAUUCAAACAAACAGAACUAAAGUUCGUUUACGACUGAUUGGCUCUGCUCGUGAACAAGUUGCAUUAGUUGCUACAAGAUCUUCGAUAUAGAAGAUAUUUUGUUCGUAUCAUGGAGAUACAAAUGAUACCUAUAUAAGGAGCCGUACCAUUGACUGCCUCUUGCUCUUGAAGAUGACAGUGAUAUUUACACAUAAAACGGAACCAACGUGUUUUACGAUAAAUUGGCUCUGCUCGUAAACAAGUUGCAUUGGGACAGGUCCAAAUAUGUGACUAAAAAUGGCCAGCGGGGAGGAUAAUUCUGAGAGGACUUUUGAAGGACGUGUAAGGGUGAGUGAAAAAAGAAAGCAAAAGACUUUGGAAAAGUUGCAACGUAUAUAUGCCAAGUCAGAGAUACCGCAAGACGAGAGACAAUUGCCACUGACAUCUACCGCCUCAGAAGCAAGCGACCAACAGGUGUUUCUAGAUGACGAAUUUGCUGAUCGAAAUAGAACAAAGAUUGAUGAUGCCCGGAGUCGACUUAAGAAGAUACAAAAAAUGGCGAAGGAAAACGAAAAACUUGUAAAGACGAUAGACGAACAAAGGGCAGUGAUAAACAAAUCCCGGGACAAAGAAAAAUCUCUGUCAAUAGAAAUUGAAAAACUGGAGAAAGAAUGUUCCGGUUUGAGAACAUGCAACCAUAAGAGGAGUGCUGCCUUAAGGCAAAAACAAAAGGAAUUAGACAAAAAAAGAAAGGAGCUUCAAGCACUGCAGAAUACAAUAAAAUCAAAAGAUGAAUGCUUUAGAAAGUAUAAUGACACACUUAGACAAAACGAGAUAUUGAUAUCGGACAUGGAACAAGAAAAAUCGCAUUUGUAUGCAGAACUGGAGCAGCAAUUAAAAAGACAUUACGAAGAAAAGUACAAAAUUGUAAAUUUGGAGAUAGGGAAGGAAAAAAGUUUAGAUCAGAUGACGACAACAACAUCAUUGCUAUGGCUGGAAAAUUUGGUUAGACAGCUUAAAGAGGAGAAAAUAUCACGGUUGGGCAAGCUCACUGGAAAACAACGCAGAACGGACGUUUCUACAACAAGUCGCACAUCAUCAGUGACAGGCCAUCGCUUAGCAACCAGCCAACAAGGAUUACCAACUAGCCAACAAAAGUUAUUAAAUAGCCGAAAAGGGUUUUCAACCAGCCGACAAGAGUUUUCCACCAGCCAACAAGAGUUAUCAAUAAACCAACAAGGGUUAUCACCUAGCCAACUAGGGUUAUUAACCAGCCAACAAGGGUUAUCAACAAGUCAACAAGGGUUAUCAACCAGCCAACAAGGGUUAUCAACUAGCCAACAAGGGUUAUCGACAAGCCAGCAAGGACUAUCAACUACACUACAAGGGUUAUCAAGUAGCAAACAAGGGUUAUUAAGCAGUCAACAAGGGUUAUCAACCAGCCGCCAAGGGUUAUCAGCCAGCCAAAAAGGAUUUUCAAUCAGACAGCAGGAGUUAUCAACUAACCAACGAGGAUUAUCAACCAGCCACCAAGGGUUAUCAGCCAGCCGAGAAGGGCUAUUAGCCAGCCGACAAGAGUUAUCGACCAGCCAACAAGGAUUUUCAACCAGCCAACAAGGGUUAUUAACCAGCCUACAAGGGUUAUCAACAAGCCAAGAAGGGUUAUCAACCUGCCAAAAAGGGAUAUCAACGAGCCAACAUUGGUUAUCAACCAGCCUACAAGGGUUAUCAACUGGCAAACAAGAGUUAUCAACCAGCCAACAGGGAUUAUCAACAAGCCACCAAGGGUUAUCAACCAGCCAACAAGGGUUAUCAACAAGCCAACAAAGGUUAUCGAAUAGCCAACAAGGACUAUCAACUAGUCUACAGGGGUUAUCAACUAGCCAACAUGGGUUAUCAACCAGUCAACAAGGGUUAUCAACCAACCGCCAAGGGUUAUCAGCCAGCCAAAAAGGAUUUUUAUCCAACCAGCAGGAGUUAUCAACAAGCCAACAAAGAUUAUCAGACAGCCAAGUAAUGUCAUCAACCAGCCUUCAAGGGUUAUCAUCCAGCCAAGAAGGGUUAUCAGCCAGCCUACAAGAGUUAUCGUCCAGCAUACAAGGGUUAUCUAUUAGCAAACAAGGAUUAUCAAUAAGCCAACAAGAGUUAUCAACAAGCCAACACUGGUUAUCAACCAGCCAACAAGACUUUUCAAAAAGCCAACAAGGGUUAUCAACUGGCCAAAAAGACUUAUCAACUAGUCUACAAGGGUUAUUAACCAGCCAACCAGGGUUAACAACCAGCCUUAAAGGGUUAUCAACUAGCCAACAGGGGUUAUCAACAAGCCAACGAGGGUUAUCAACCCGUCAACAAGGAUUAUCUACCAGCCUACAAGGGUUAUCAACUGGCCAACAAGGGUUAUCAAAACGCCUACAAGGGUUUUCAACUAGGCUACAAGGGUCAUCAACCAGCCAACAAGGGUUAUCAAAUGGCCAACAAGGGUUUUCAGCAAGCCAACAAGGGUUAUCAACCCACCAACAAGGACUAUCAACCAGACUACAAGAAUCAUCAACUGGCCAACAAGAAUUAUCAACCAGCCAACAGGGGUUAUCAACAAGCCAACAAGGGUUAUCAACCAGCCAACUAGGACCAUCAACCAGCCUACAAGGGUUAUCAACCAAGCUACAAGGGUCAUCGACCAGCCGACAAGAGUUAUCAGCCAGCGAACAAGCAUUAUUAACCAGACAACAAGUGUUAUCAACUUGCCAACCCAGAUUAUCAGCCAGCCAAGUAGGGUUAUCAGCCAGCCGACAAGGGUUAUCAACCGGCCGUCAGGGGUUAUCAACCAGCCAAAGAGGGUUAUCAGCCAGCCGAGAAGGGUUAUCAAGCAGCCAACAAGGAUUGUCAACCAGCCAACAGGGUUUUUUAACCAGCCUACAAGGGUUAUCAACAAGCCAAGAAGGGAUAUCAUCCAGCCAACAAGGAUUAUCAACCAGAAGAGAAGGGUUAUCAUCCAGGCAACAGGGCAUAUCAACUAGCCAACAAGGGUUAUCAGCCAGCCAACAGGGGUUGCAAACUAGCCAGCAAGGGAUAUCAACCUGCAAACAAGGGUUAUCAAUAAACCCACAAUGGUUAUCAACCAGACAACAAGGGAUAUCAACCAGCCAACACGGGUUAUUGACUAGCCAACAAUUGUUAUCUCUAAGCCCACAAUUGUUAUCAUCAAGCCAACAAGGGUUUUCAACAAGUCAACAAUCGGUAUCAAUAAACCCACAAGGGUUAUCAACCAGGUUACAAGGGCUAUCAACCGGCCGACCUAGGUUCUCAACCAGCCGUCAAGGGUUCUCAACCAGGCAAAACGAGUUAUCACCAACCCAGCAAGGAUUACCAUCCAUAAUAAUAAAUGACUAGACACCAGAUGGUCCACAAUCGGCAAAUAAAGCUUUCCACAAAACAAGCCUAGAUUUUCAUUGCGAGCAAGUAUGAGGCCUAAUACAUCACUUUACAUGUCCACAGCGAAGACACACAGAAGGGGACAAGAGUGAAAAUGACACUGCAACACCAAACUUUGAAAAUGAUACAUGUAUGAAUUAUAUAUAGAACAUAGAAUAACUAGCCUGUCAGAAGUGUGGACUAAAUCAUUUUACAGACCUUUCAUAUUCAAGUGUUUGUUAGGACUGUCUAUUAUGUCUUUACGUUCUUAAACUGAGAAAAUGGAAACACGAGCUGGGUGUAUUUUUAUUGGAAGACAAUCAAAAUCAUUUCUAAUUUCAUUUUUUUUUAAAUUUGUAGUGAUCUUCAUCAAAUUAUAUACAAUCUUUUCGGAGGUCAAAGUUUGUGAUUAAUAAGUCGAAAAUCAUCCCAUAUAACUCUUAAGAAAUAAAAACAUUUAUAUAUUGUAUGUUUCAAAUGACACAAUCUUAUAUGGUGGAUUUCUUAUUGCAAUGUAAAUGCUAUUUUCUCAAGCAUUAAAAACCAACGAAAUGCU